CAUCUGGAGAAACUGAAGGGGAGACUUUGAAAUUUGGGGUCAAGGAAGCCUUGUAGCUUUUUGAUUAACAGCACGAGUUCUUGAGUCACCUGGCCUGGAAGAAAAAGCCCACCUCGGCCGUUUAGUUACUGAUUGAUUUCGACCCAUCACUUCACUCGCCAAGCUUCAGCUCCUCCUCUCUGACUAUAGGACAAGAUCAGUACCACGCUCCUAAGGCCAGCGAUGCUGCAAAAUGCAUAAUAACCUUUGGUUGUUAUUUUAGUGAUGAUUCUUCUAGAUUUCUCCUGAGAAGUCAUGCAAAACAGGAAUGUGAAUUGCAAAAAAGAUGCUGAGCAGGAAGGCACUAAAGAAAGCCUUUCUCCAAAGGGGAUGUUUAUUUCAGAGGCACACAGGGGGAAGCUCCACCAGCUGUUUUCCAGGAAAUCAUCCACUUCACCCAGGGUGAGUUCUAAAUUUUAAUGACCAGCUAGUGUGGAAGGAUUGGAAAAAGAAGAAAACAAACAAGGAUGAUGUAAAGAUCCAAUCACACACUGCAUAAACUCUGAGGUUUCUGAUAUUUAGUCUCAAGUUUGAAGGUAGCUGCCACCUCCAUUAGGAAAAGAAUCACAACCAACACCAAUACGGGCAGCUAAAAGGUGGGGAUAUGGACAAGACAGAGUCCCGGCCUCCCUGGGAAACUGGUGUGAGGAAGUCCAGUCAGCAACACAACUGAGAGAGACCCCGCCGUGCCCAGUAGUGCCAGGCAUAGUGAAGUUAAGGCAGCUUUGGAGGAUGGAUUAGCAGGAGAGGGAGGCCAGCGUUGGAGUAGGAAACCCAACUGGCAGCCGGUCCACCGCUGUCCAGCAAAUCCGGUGUUGACUCGGAAGGUCAGUGGAGACGGAGGGAGUUGAGAGAUGUGGGAUCUGCUUUGGAGGCAGAGACAACAGAAUGGGAGAAAGGAAUCCAGGAUGACGCCGACGUCUUGGGGAGGCGCUGCUGAGGAGUGUGAGUGAGGUCCCGCCUGACCCCAGCUAGUGGGCUGCUGCCUUCUUCUGGCUUCCGAACCAGAAAGGGAGAGAGAGGGACAUCUUCUGCUUUUGAUUCUAUAACUUUUCCGUACAUUUUGAAGUUUCUAACUAUAGGCACAUAUUUUUAUUAUGUUUUUUAAUAAGUUUAUUUAUUUAUUAUUUUGUCUUUUGAGGGUCGCACUCGCAGUCUAUGGAAUUUCCCAGGCCAGGGGUUGAAUUGGAGCUGUAGCUGCCGGUCUACGCCACAGCCACGCCAGAUCUGAGCCACAUCUGUGACCUACACCACAGCUCAUGGCAACGCCGGAUCCUUAACCCACUGUGCAAGGCCAGGGAUCAAACCUGGGUCUUCAUGAAUACUAGUCAGGCUUGUUACCCCUGAGCCAUGAUGGGAACUCUCUAUUAUUUGUUUUCUUAUUUAAAUAUCAGCAGGGCUUUUCUGAUCAAUAAGCUGAGAAUCCAUUUUUAUCUUCUUCAUUAGAUUUUAUUUAAAAAAAACCUGUUAAAGUGAAUAAAUGAUUAACUGCCUGAAAUAUUUAACUUGCCAUGCCAAGCCAAUUAAAUAUAAUGUUACACUUGAAAAGACAAAGGUCAUUUAAAGAGUGCAAGAAUUCCUCAACCCACACCAAACUGCUACCAGCCUGCUAGUGCCCACAAAGUUUGCCCGGACAAUAACCCUUUUAUUCAACAGAUAUCUGAGUGCCUACUGUGUACCAGGCAUUGUUCUGAGUACCAGUAGAUAAAACAAAGCUCACAGGGAGUCACAGACUAGAUUCAAGUUGGAGGAAACACAAUUAGUAAGUAGACAUUAUAUACAAACAUGUAACAAGUGCUGCAUUGAAAAAUUAAAGAAGGGCUGGGUGGCGAGUGACCGGUGGAGAUGGAGGGUGUGCACAGAACACAUGCCACAGUCGCAUCACUGCAGAGAAAGGUCAGGAGGCCUGAGGAGGCAGAGACUUCAGCAGUGACCUGGAUGGAGGCAAGGAAGGGAUGAGCCACACCAAGAGCUGAAGGACGGACCAGGAAAGGCCCUGAAAUGGGAGAGCUGGAAACCAUUAUCGGUCUUAAGGAACAGGAUCCUGGGACGCGUUGUGUGCAGUCUGCUCUGAGACGCUGACCAGCAGGAGCGCACUCUGACAGGCCAGCGAUGGCAGACCUCAACCAAAUAAAAGUUAUGCAAAGUGUCAACCAAAAGAGCAAUGAUGAGCUUGGCGUGGGCCAUGGCUGAACCCGACUGGAGACCUCUGCGGCCCUCACACACAGCCACGGGGAGCUCACAGCCAUGAUUCAGUACGGCGCACAGCAGACAGAGAGGAGACACCUUACCUGUAUCAUCUACAGAUACCGCUUGAAAAAUCACACGUAAUUAGGCCCUUCUCACAGGGGAAGCUACUCGAAGCUCUAUCACCAGCUGUCCUCUAAAAACAGCAGCUCCGCGCUACCUAACUGAAGGAAAACGCAAUGGUGGGAGAUGUACUGACAUCUGCAGGGUGGCCCUGAGGUGGCUUCCCCCCCAGACUGUUCUGCUCCAUUAAUCCUGGUGCAAGAAAUAAGGUGUCGUGGUCACUAGGUGCCACCCCUGCUUGUCCUCCAUUGGCCCUUGCUGUACACAGGCAUACAUUUCCCUUGAGCAACGUCAGAUGAGAAAGUGAUUUCAUUUCCAUCACAGGGGAGAAGACAAACAGAAGACCCAGAGGCAGCGACUUGCUUGGAGGCCUCCAAGGCUGUCAGGAAGCAGGAUGCAAGCAGAGCCUUGAAACAUGUUUGCACCACGGGUCUGGCUCUUUUUGCACUGGCCAUGAGAAGCGGCUGCCUAUUUAUCCAAAAAGGAUGAAAGACACCUGGAGCAGACCUGGAUGCAACCCACAUCUUGAAGUCCUGACGAGCCUGGAUCACCUGAAAACCAGCCAACUUGCAGAUGCUGUUGUGAGAAAAUUGAGGAAUGAAAAGGAUACGUGACUUACCCAAACAAUGGCCAUGUCGUGAGAACAUUCAAGAAAAACUCCACAUGGUGAAGAACUGAGGCCUCCAGCCAACAGCCGUGUGAGUGCACCAUCUUAGAAGCAGAUGCUCCAACUGCAGUCAAGCUUUUAGAUGCUGGCAGCCUCGACCAACAUCCUGACUGUACCGUGACUACUUGGGAGAGAGCUUGAGGCAAAAUCGUCCAUCCAGACUGUUCUCAGUGAUUCCUGACCUCAGAAACUGGGAGAGAAUCACACACGACUGGGGAUGUCCUAAUUUCCAAGGAAGACCUGUGGUGGCUCAUGUUCAAACACGGCCCUUGGAUAAGGGCUGGUCUAGUGACUUUCCAACAGACAGAAUACAACAAACAUGAUGCAACGUCACCUCAGGAUCAGGUCACAGAGGACUGUACCUUCCACCUUUGCCAGCAGACUCUACUGCCUGCUCAGCUUAUACACUGUGAUGAAGCAAGCUGCCACGUGAGGAGGCCCCGUGUGGCAAGGAGCCUCUGACCAAGAUCAAGGAAAGACCCGAAGUCCUCCAUCCACCAGCCCUUGAGGAAACCAAUCCUACUAAGAGGUAUGUGAGCUUGGAGGCAGAUGCUUCUCCACUUGAGCCUUCAGAUGAGGCCUCAGCCUCAAGUGACCCCUCGAGUGAAGACCUGCAAGAGACCCAGCCAAGCAUGGUCCAGAUUCUGAUCCACAGAAACUGAGAGACAUGUGUGCCUUAUUAUAAGCUGCUGUGGGGGCGGGGAGUGGAUGGGAUGGGGGGGACAAUUUGUUACACAAAACAGAGGACUAACACAGACCUACCCAGUCAAUUAAUAACACAUAGAGAGGAAGGAAGGAAAGAGCUGGAUAAGGAGCUGGCAUCUCUGGAUUCUGGCCACAUUCCACCACCUAGUACAGAGGUGAUCAGAGAAAAGGCA
rnacentral:lncRNA from 1 species